rnacentral:rRNA from 1 species
CGGGUGAGUAACGCGUGGAUAACCUGCCUCACACUGGGGGAUAACAGUUAGAAAUGACUGCUAAUACCGCAUGAGCGCACAGUACCGCAUGGUACGGUGUGAAAAACUCCGGUGGUGUGAGAUGGAUCCGCGUCUGAUUAGCCAGUUGGCGGGGUAACGGCCCACCAAAGCGACGACCAGUAGCCGACCUGAGAGGGUGACCGGCCACAUUGGGACUGAGACACGGCCCAA